rnacentral:rRNA from 1 species
GACGAACGCUGGCGGCGUGCCUAAUACAUGCAAGUCGAACGGACUUUGAAGUUAGCUUGCUAACUUCAUGGUUAGUGGCGGACGGGUGAGUAACACGUAGGCAACCUGCCCACAAGAUCGGGAUAACAUUCGGAAACGAAUGCUAAGACCGGAUAAACACUUCUCUCGCAUGAGGGGAAUGGGAAACACGGUGUAAGCUGUGGCUUGUGGAUGGGCCUGCGGCGCAUUAGCUAGUUGGUGGGGUAAAGGCUCACCAAGGCGACGAUGCGUAGCCGACCUGAGAGGGUGAACGGCCACACUGGGACUGAGACACGGCCCAGACUCCUACGGGAGCAGCAGUAGGGAAUCUUCCACAAUGGGCGCAAGCCUGAUGGAGCAACGCCGCGUGAGUGAGGAGGC